rnacentral:lncRNA from 1 species
UUUAUUCAUGAGAGACGCAGGGAGAGAGAGGCAGAAACACAGUCAGAGGGAGAAGUAGGCUCCACACAGGGAGCCCGAUUCGGGACUCGAUUCCAGACCCAGGGAUCACACUCUGAGCCAAAGGCAGACGCUCAACCGCUGAGCCACCCAGGCGUCCCCUAGUUGCAUGAUCUUAAAUGACUUACUCAGCGUCCCCAAGAUCCCUUUUCCUGAUCUGGCAUAGAAAAAGAUUCAUUGGCCUUUCACAAGACUGUCGUGUUGCUUGGCACAGUGCCUAGUAUCUGGUUUCUGCUAAAUAAUAGAUACUGUUAUUAUAAUUUUAGUAAUAUUGUUAUUUACGUCGUUUCAUGCUCACUUGCCCUCCAGUGCAGGAGACCUUUAUUCCAGCUUUAUAACUGUCCUACUGUCCCCAGCUCUUCUGUGUUCCUCCCAGUCCUACAUACAGCUGGCAGAUGGACUUUGCUGUUUUUUUAAUGAGGCUAUAGUGCCCUUCUGGCAACUUUUUAAAUGGUCCUCCUACUUUUCUCCUUGCCUUAUACACUAUAUCCUUUUCUAUUGACUUUAAGAUUAAUAAAAAUGUGCGAACUUAUGACAUAUGCCAAUGAAGUGGCUUUCACAAAUGACUAGAAAGCACAUAUCCAUUUGUGCUGACAUGCCUGUGUCUUCUGACUCACAAGGCUGUGAUUUAAUGAUGGGUUCAUAUCCUAAAACUGGGGUGGCACUGAAAAUACAUGGCAUGACAACAUGUGCCACAUAGUACACUAGGAAUAGGCCAAUAAAUGUCACCAAGGAAAAAAAUAAGAACAGAAAAGCAUAUCGAUUCUCAGUAAGUGCUCAACAAAAAGCCAAAGUUCUUUACAUUUUUCAGGAGAAGAGUUCAAAGAAUGGGUUAAACUGAGCCAUGGCAUGAGAACUGGCAAUUCCUGCCAAACGGAAGUUCAAGAAACAAUGUUCAUUUCAAUGUCAAUUAAACAUUGACAUUAGUUAAAUGUCAGUGUGCCAGGCCACUGUGCCACCUAGCACCACUAGUGAUACAAAAAUGAUUUUCACUGCUUUGGUCACAAUGUGCCCUUCCACAGAAAACUUCAGACUGCCCCUACUGUCCACAAGGGCAACUCCAAACUGCUAGUUCAGUUUCCAAAGCCUUUUAGUAAGGAGGUCUCUAUUCACUACCCCUGAAUAUACCUUGGACUUUCUCACCUCAUGAUUUUGCUUACAGUCUUCUCUGUUCCAACUCUUCCAUUGAAAUCCUGCCGUUCAGGACAUUGCUUGAAUACUAGCCUCUUCAUGUCCACUACUGCUAUGAAGUCCCAAUGUCUUCUCCAGUCACAGCUAAUUUCUCAGCCCUAUGUAUUUCUGUAUCACUUCUGUUUAUUCCUCUCCUAUAGAAAUUACUAUAUUUUUCCCUAUAUUAAAAUGUUUUAAAUAUGUAGCUUUGGUUAAGUCACUCAUUCCCACUGAAAUGGAGAAUGGCCGUGAGAAGCAAACUCAAUGCUGGCAAAGGUGUUCAAAACAUACAUCAAAAACUAUCAACCACUAUACAAAGGUAAAGGAGUCUCAUUAUCCUAUUCAUGUCCUGUGAAGGAAUAUUUGGUUAGUUCCACAGAAUGAUCAUUCUUAGUUACACCACUUGGUUAAAGCAAGUCAACGAGACCUUAAAUGGCGGUUAACGCUGAAUUUUAUACUUUAAGUGGGUGAAUUUUAUGUUAUGUGGAUUAUAGCUCAAUAAAGCUGCUAUUUAGAAAAUAAUAGGUUAAAUCUCUGUAUAGAUGGGUCAGCAAGUUUACUGUGCCCCAUUACUGUGAGCACCAGAGCUCACUCUGACCAGUGAACCCAGACAUGCAUACGUCUUUCGUUCUAAGCCAGAAUAGACGAGUAAAUCAGCAAAAAUCCAUUCACACUGGAAGGAUCCUUUUUUUUUUUAAUAUUUUAUUUAUUUAUUCAUGACAGACACAGAGAGAGAGAGAGAAGCAGAGACACAGGCAGAGGGAGAAGCAGGCUCCAUGCAGGGAGCCCGAGGUGGGACUCGAUCCUGGGCCUCCAGGAUCACACGCCAGGCCCAAGGCUACACCAAACCGAUGGGCCACUGGGGCUGCCCUGGAAGGAUCCUUCUAUGUAGCAGGGUCCCCAGUAGAGAGCAAAGAAGGAAGUAGGCCAGCAGAUGGCUCAUACCUCCGUGAGGUGGGGAUGGAGUCUUUUGUGAAAUCUGACAACAGAUGACAACAGGUGUAAAUGAAAAACGAUGAAAGUGACUCGAAGAAUAGCAAAGCUCUCAAGGAUUUUAUAUGAGGAAAUUCAUGAGAUGCUGAGUUUUCUGAUGAACCAACAUUUACUAUGAAUUUUCUAGACCAAAGGCUAUUCCAAAAAGUGAAGGAAAAACUUGAAGCAUCUCCAUAAGCCAAGUGUCCUUUUUGUCACCUGUGACUUUAUACUUUCUUUCAGUGGUCUGCUGCUUUAUGAUGGUCAAAGAGCAGAGCUUGCCUAAAGCAAGUUAUAAGAGGUGUCAGCUUUGGGUUGGUACUCCUUACUUUCUUUUUCUCUUUUCACCUUUCUCUAGGUGCUGGACUAUUUACUCAUCUCUCAAAAGAGAACGCCCAACCUACUAAUCCAUUCCUCUUGGACUUCCUCUCCAGCAAAGCAUGCUACUUUGAGUGAUUCAGAGAGACUUAGUUACAUAGAUGUGUAAGUAAAUGGCUAAGAGAGGUGGAUCUAACAUGGUUCCUGGGAAAAAGAGCCAUAAGGCAAAGAGAUGAAUUUCUCAUCAUGGCAUUGGAGCCAUGCAGGAAAGGGGCAGGGUGAAGGCUCCCUCGACUUUCCCCACCCUGUACUCCAAGAAAAGCCAUAAAACUAUGGAGCAAUUGUUGCCUGCUUUGUCUCUUAGUAAUGUGUAAUACUUAUCAAAGACCCUCAUGUACCCUCAAGUUGCAAAGGAUGUCUACAUUUACAUUUUAAAUAUAAUUAUAUAUAGAGUAGAAAGAGAUGUCUUUUUGAUCUGGAAGUAGGACAAUAUAUUUUAGGCCCUCCCACACUCACAAUAAAUUGGCAG